GAACCUUGAGUUGCAACCGUCAACCCCUCUGCUAGGGUUCUGCCUCCGCUGUUACGUUGAGCCAGGAAGUUCCGUUACUCCCUGCCUGUAGUUCAUCCUUGGAGAUGUCGUACUCGUGGUCGUACAGUCGAGGUCUUCGCUAGACUUUUCCAGAUGGACGGGGUUCUCGUGGUCAGCAAGGAAAUGGAGAUUUCGCUGCUUAGCCAUUUGGGCUGGAUUUAUCUUCUUCAUGAUUUCUUUAGGGCUAUGGCCCAUGUAUCGCUUUAUGCAUUGCUACUCUACUCUUUUUGUUAGACUUGUAUCUGAUUUCCCGUUGGCAUCGUGGUAUGCUCAGGUUGUAGGGGUUGUGUUAAGGACCCCGGACUACUCCAUAUUACU